rnacentral:misc_RNA from 1 species
AACAAAGAGACAAGGGGACCUUUCUAUGUUAAAUAAGUAAGACAACUUCGAUCCAUACUAAACCGUCUUGAGUUCCAUUCUGGUUCUCCCCGCUUUGAGGCGAGGUUGAAUCUUUCCACUGUUCUGGGGCUUGAGUUCGGUUCGAAAAAGAAAUGGUAAAGGUACGCAGCAGGUUCCGAAGUCGAAAAAACAGCAUAUUUCCCCUGUUCCUGUUGGUACGUUCAGAAUUGAUUGUUGGGGCGAAAAGAAAGAUUUCCCUUUUCCGGUCAAUUGCCAGUACAAAACUGAAUUGGAAGAAGAAAGGAUCUGGUUGAAAAGAAAGCCAGGGAAGAAGAACUAGCAAAUCAAUCUUUCCCAGGUU